CAAGACCUUGCGCUCCUGGAGCGGCCGAUUUCUGAUUAGCUAGUUGGUGAGGUAAAGGCUUACCAAGGCGACGAUCAGUAGCUGGUCUGAGAGGACGACCAGCCACACUGGGACUGAGACACGGCCCAGACUCCUACGGGAGGCAGCAGUGGGGAGUUUUGGACAAUGGGGGAAACCCUGAUUCAGCCAUGCCGCGUGAGUGAAGAAGGCCUUCGGGUUGUAAAGCUCUUUCAGCAGGAACGAAACGGUCAAGGCUAAUACCCGUGACUAAUGACGGUACCGGAAGAAGAAGCACCGGCUAACUACGUGCCAGCAGCCGCGGUAAUACGUAGGGUGCGAGAGUUAAUCGGAAUUACUGGGCGUAACGCGUGCGCAGGCGGUUUUGUAAGUCAGAUGUGAAAUCCCCGGGCUUAACCAGGGAACU
rnacentral:rRNA from 1 species